rnacentral:rRNA from 1 species
GAUGAACGCUGGCGGCGUGCUUAACACAUGCAAGUCGAACGGAAAGGCCCAAGCUUGCUUGGGUACUCGAGUGGCGAACGGGUGAGUAACACGUGGGUGAUCUGCCCUGCACUUCGGGAUAAGCCUGGGAAACUGGGUCUAAUACCGGAUAGGACCACAUUUUGGAUGGUGUGGUGGAAAGUUUUUCGGUGUGGGAUGAGCUCGCGGCCUAUCAGCUUGUUGGUGGGGUAAUGGCCUACCAAGGCGUUGACGGGUAGCCGGCCUGAGAGGGUGUACGGCCACAUUGGGACUGAGAUACGGCCCAGACUCCUACGGGAGGCAGCAGUGGGGAAUAUUGCACAAUGGGCGCAAGCCUGAUGCAGCGACGCCGCGUGGGGGAUGACGGCCUUCGGGUUGUAAACUCCUUUCGCUAGGGACGAAGCGCAAGUGACGGUACCUGGAGAAGAAGCACCGGCUAACUACGUG